UUCCGUUGGUGCGUGGUGCUUUGCAAAGCACAUGACAUUGUGGAAUCUCUUUUUCCGUCAUCGCCGUCGCGGAAAGUCAUCGAAGUGAAAAGGUGCUGCAAGAGUUACGCCAGGGAUUUAAUCCAGGAAUUCCGUCGGCUAUGGAAUUAAAGCGGGGAAAGAAUUUCACUACAGCCGAAGAUGAACAGAUUUGUCGGUCUUGGUUAUGGGUGUCCAAGGACCCUAUUAAAGGGACAGACCAACAACGAAGCGACUUUUGGACCACAGUCAAAAACCAUGCGGAAAAGAUUAUGCCAUCACUAAGUGGCCGGACUGCUGAUGGUCUCAGGCAGCGUUUUCAACAUUUAAGCGCCCUUGUAUCCAAGUACAGCAGCUGCGUUAGUUUUGUAAAUAAACUAAAUGCCAGUGGAACCUCUGCCGAAGAUCGUGCGCAAAAAGCUAGGGACAUGUUUUUAAGUGAUACUAAAUCAAAAACAUUCAAAAUUCAGUCAUGUUAUGAUAUUUUGAAGGAUGAACCAAAGUACAAGAUGCAAGAAGAAGUACGUCAUCUGAAGAAGCGAAGGCAUGUGAACACCAGCAUAAGAAAUCACUUGAAACAAAACAUUACUACCUGACUGACUUACUUCGAGACUGAUUGACUGACUACAGGACAGGAUAUAGAUUAUUUAUGUGAUGAUCAAUUAGGAGAAUCGAAACAACUAUUAAGCGAUGAUGAAGUUCUUGUUCCGACAACAAGUAAGCAGUCACCAAGGCCUAUGGGCCAAAAAAAGGCUAAAAUGUUUAAACGUGGCGAGGAGCACGAUUCAGCCAGUGCACUUCUCGAAGAAAUAAAAACAAAAAACCGAGCACUGAUCAAUUUUACGAAUGCCUUGCAAAGAGCAACCGAUG